rnacentral:rRNA from 1 species
GACGAACGCUGGCGGCGUGCUUAACACAUGCAAGUCGAACGGAAAGGCCUGCUUUCCCUUGUGGACUGCGGGUACGCGCGUGGCGAACGGGUGAGUAACACGUGAGUGAUCUGCCCCCAACUUGGGUAUAAGCCUGGGCAACUGGGUCUAAUUCCCGCUAGCUCUGCAGGGUGGUGCGUGUGGUGGAAAACGAUGUUCUAGUGGUUGCGGAUGACCUGUGGGCCUAUCAGCUUGUGGGUGGGGUAAUGGGUUACGAGGGCGGCGACGGGUAGCCGGGCUGGGAAGGUGGACGGCGACGUUGGGACGGAGAUUCGGGCCAGAGUUCCACGGGAGGCAGCAGUGGGGAAUAGUGGACAAGGGGCGGAAGCCAGGGGCGGCGGCGCCGCGUGGGGGAUGACGGCCUGGGGGGUGUAAACUCCGUUCGACCGCGAGGAAGCCACGUGGUUGGAAGGGUGGGGAGGUUAGUGGUAGAAGAAGCACCGGCUAAUUACGU